rnacentral:rRNA from 1 species
UACAGAGGGGGCAAGCGUUAUUCGGAAUUAUUGGGCGUAAAGCGCGCGCAGGCGGUCCUUUAAGUCUGAUGUGAAAGCCCACGGCUCAACCGUGGAGGGUCAUUGGAAACUGGGGGACUUGAGUGCAGAAGAGGAAAGCGGAAUUCCACGUGUAGCGGUGAAAUGCGUAGAGAUGUGGAGGAACACCAGUGGCGAAGGCGGCUUUCUGGUCUGUAACUGACGCUGAGGCGCGAAAGCGUGGGGGAGCAAACAGG